AUUGAACGCUGGCGGCAUGCCUAACACAUGCAAGUCGAGCGGAAGAAGGGAGCUUUCUCCUGGAUUCCGCGUCGGACGCGUGAGAAAUACCCAUGAAUCUGCCUCCUAGUGGGGGGGAACGUCCGGAAACGGCCGCUACUACCGCAUACGUCCUGAGCGAGAGAGUGGGGGGUCUUCGGACCUCUCGCGCUCUGGUGAGCCUAGGUCGGAGUAUCUAGUUGGUGGGGUAAAGGCCUACCAAGGCGACGAUCCGUAGCUGGUCUGAGAGGAUGAUCAGUCACACUGGAACUGAGACACGGUCCAGACUCCUACGGGAGGCAGCAGUGGGGAAUAUUGGACAAUGGGCGAAAGCCUGAUCCAGCAAUGCCGCGUGUGUGAAGAAGGUCUUCGGAUUGUAAAGCACUUUUGGUUGGGAGGAAGGGCAGUAAGUUAAUACGUUGCGGUGUUGACGGUACCGGCAGAAUAAGCACCGGCUAACUACGUG
rnacentral:rRNA from 1 species